rnacentral:rRNA from 1 species
GACGAACGCUGGCGGCGUGCUUAACACAUGCAAGUCGAACGGAAAGGCCCUGCUUUUGUGGGGUGCUCGAGUGGCGAACGGGUGAGUAACACGUGAGUAACCUGCCCUUGACUUUGGGAUAACUUCAGGAAACUGGGGCUAAUACCGGAUAGGAGCUCCUGCUGCAUGGUGGGGGUUGGAAAGUUUCGGCGGUUGGGGAUGGACUCGCGGCUUAUCAGCUUGUUGGUGGGGUAGUGGCUUACCAAGGCUUUGACGGGUAGCCGGCCUGAGAGGGUGACAGGCCACAUUGGGACUGAGAUACGGCCCAGACUCCUACGGGAGGCAGCAGUGGGGAAUAUUGCACAAUGGGCGGAGGCCUGAUGCAGCAACGCCGCGUGCGGGAUGACGGCCUUCGGGUUGUAAACCGCUUUCGCCUGUGACGAAGCGUGAGUGACGGUAAUGGGUAAAGAAGCACCGGCUAACUACGUG